CCUACGGGACGCAGCAGUGAGGAAUAUUGGUCAAUGGGAGAGAUCCUGAACCAGCCAAGCCGCGUGAGGGAAGACGGCCCUAUGGGUUGUAAACCUCUUUUGUCGGAGAACAAAACCCGGGACGUGUCCCGGACUGCGUGUAUCCGGAGAAAAAGCAUCGGCUAACUCCGUGCCAGCAGCCGCGGUAAUACGUAGGGAGCAAGCGUUAUCCGGAUUUACUGGGUGUAAAGGGCGUGUAGGCGGGCCUGCAAGUCAGAAGUGAAAUCUGGGGGUUUAACCCCCAAA
rnacentral:rRNA from 1 species